rnacentral:lncRNA from 1 species
AAUGCAUUUGCUUUCAGCCGCAGAGAGAAGAAGCUGCCCAAGAAUGGAAAGGAAGAAAUAUAUCACAUCAUCUGUCUGUCCACAGGCUUUCCUUGGGGCUUAUGAAGUGAAUGAAGGAGGGAAGAAAGGAGAGACAGAGAAAAUAUGGAUUUCCUCAUGGUUGUGAUUCCUCUUCACUCUUUUGAAUUUGGAAGGAUGGCAUACACAUCUGAAAAAUACCACUACUUCCUUCAUUGGACUGCAAGGUAUUUCUGUUUGGAAAAGUAAUGGAGUCCAGUCAACUUCAUUGAUCGCCAAGGACUGUCAAAAUUAUAAAACUUGCUGUGGAGCUCUGACAUGCCAGAAGCCGCUAGAAAAAGAAGUUUGACAUUCAGAAACUUAUCAAGAGGUUCUACUCUUUGGAUAGAGACCAAAAUCAUACUUUGAAAAAGCCUGACAGGUUUCUUCGGAAAAGUGGCCAUCCAUGGAAUGAAUGAAAUGUUCUCUUUCUAUUCCAGGGAUUGCAGUGGCAAAGCUAGGCUAGGUCUUGGAGGCUGGUGUAAGGCGAUGUGGGUGAAGGCAGGAGGCUGAUGGAAAGACUGGGGGGAAGAAAAGCCGAAAUGGAUUCACGGUGCCUUGGAUGAAGGACGAGAGGGGAACUGCAAGCUCCUUCAACUGGUUCUGUCCGGUGAGAAGUGAUCAAGCUUGGGCUGACAAGAGGCUCAGGGAGCCCUCACGUUCUUUCGCUUUUUUACCUGCCAAUCAAACUGCUACAAGACAACACCCUGAUCUGGCAUGGACAUAUCCAACUUAGAAAUAAUGUUUCAUUCAAGAUAAGGCUCGUGGCUUAGGAGAUUGUGACCUGGCUUGCAUCAUUCUAAGACUUCUAUCGUCUGUUUUCAAAACCCAAGGAGGACCUCCUUUUCUGUGUGAUAGUUCCUCAUGCUUUGCCAGCCACUGGGUCUUUAAGGAAGCUUGCCAAGAGUUCCCGGCUGGGAAGGACAGUUCGAGUUCAUCAUAGACAAUGAGCUGGCACCACAGUUUAAGUGACUCACCAACCUGGUUGCCCACUUCAAAAUGUCAAGAACCACACUAUCUAAUUGAAAGAACUGUGUUUUAGCAAAGUGUAAUUGGAUCGCCUGGCAAGAUCAUCUCAAACUAUGUCUCUGACCUUGCCUUUCAGUGGCUAUUUUGAGCACAAGAGGAGAAAGGAAAUGAUUCCUGAAUUAUAUCUUGUUUUUAAAAAUUAAGAUUAAUUAAUACUUGGUUUUAUGUUCAUUCCAUUGUAGGAACUUAGUGAUUAUUACAAAACAGUCAAAAUAGGUCAUAGCAAAAUGAACGUUUAAGAUUAGGUUAAAACAUUCCUCUGAAAUUUUAGUAUUCACUUUUGAAGUGUCAAUUACUAUAUUUCUGUAAUUUCUCAUUUUUUUCUUGGCUUAGAGUCAAGAUGAAAAAUGAUAUUUGAAUCAAAGACAUUGUUUUGUUAUAUAGCCACUCCUUUCUAAAAUGCAAAUCCACCCUCCCCUCACCAAUGCUUUAUUCUUUGUGCGCGCACACACACACACACACACACACACACACACACACACACACAGACAUACACAGAACCAGCACCCAAAUGGUAGAGGAGGUCCUUCCAAGACUUCUAGGACCUGGAUCAUGUAAGCAGUAGAUGAGAAAAUGAAGUAAGAGAUAUAGAGUAAUAACAAUAAAAGUCAAUGAUUUCAUUUUACAAAAAAGUCAUUGUGUAGUACUCAGAUAUUUUUAAGAGCAAGUAUUAUUAUGACUAAAGUAUAUUAUACUUCUAAAUUAUUAUGAUUCUCAUCUAAUUUCAAGCCACACAUAGGCGCCAUUUGAAAGCAUUUUGUGUUACAACCUAUCAACAAAAAUCAACUAAUAGUUUUAUAACGUGCAUAGGUUUACCCCAUGGGGAAUUAAAAUUUUUAUCUGCAAGUAUUUCUGUUGUUGUGAGACUUUAGGACAAGACAACAUUUGGUGUUAACAUAGAAGAAUAUUCUAUGGCUUUUUUAGCUUUAAAGUUCAUUACUCUAAAAUAAAGUACACGUGGUAUUUUUUUCUUCCUAGUGUUCUCUUAUUAUAUGUAGAGUAUUUUCGGUUGUUGUUUUUAACGUAUACAUUAUUUUUAUUAAGUCAUUUCAUAAAAGAUAAGAUAUAUACUAAUAGACCCUUGGUUUUCUCCUAAUUUAAUUAUUUCAAGUCAAGCAAAAUUGGGCAAUUUUCUUUCAGGAAAAAAAAAAUAUUGAGCAUGAUUUUGAGGUAAAACUGAUUAUUUACAGCAUCUUUUCUCUAAUAGGCUAACAUUUAUGAUGGAUCUUAUUUCAAAGUUGAUUAUUCUCAAAGAAAAGUGGAGAUAUUAGAAUUUCCGAGUAAAUUGCAUUGUUUUAAAAAGUACUUUAAUGCAUUGUUCACAUUGUUGCCAGCUAUUGACCAAAAAAGAGAAGAAGAAAAAAGAAAUAAAAAAAGCAGUAUCUGCUCCAAACGUCAAGUUUUGCAGUUUGAAAGACUUGUACAUUAUAAUUGUUUUUUUCUUUUUUGGAAAGCAGUAGUAAUUAAUACCAAAGGCAUAGACAAUUUAGGGCCAUAACCUCCCUUCCCCCCUCUCCACCUUUUUUUUUUUUUUUUUUUUUUUUUAACUUUAACCAUGAUAGGCAUCUCUGCAAGGUAGGUUUUAACAUAUUUUUUUCCUAAUUUUUUUCCCUCCAUUCAGUAAGAAGGAUAAGCUUUUAGAGUACCCAGUCACCGUGGUAACUGCCAAAAAAAUUCUCCUGAAGUUUGAAGAGGUCAGCUAGCAGGGUCAACAACCCUGGCCUCUCUCUGAGCUCGGUCUAGCAUGCCCCAGCCUGCGGUUGGAGUGUCAGGCCAGAUCUGACCCUGGGAGGUGGACCAUUCUGGCUCUGAUAUAAAUUUUUCGAGUCAGUUCAUGGCCUGGACUCUCCAGGUGGCCUCCAAAAUCGAUUUUGACCCCCUGACCCUGUCUCACGGAGGCAUAGCAUCCACCCUAAGUAAGGAUUUAGCCAGGAAUGACAGCUUUCCACUGAGUGUUAUUGGGGACAGUAUAAACAGUUUGGAAAGCAAGUAAGGAGGUGUGAGGGCUAGCAAUCAUUAAAAGCACAUUAAAAAACAAUUUUUAAAAAUCUUUAUUAGAGAAAGUUGUAAAUGCAUAUCUGUUACAGAAUUCCUGUGAUUUGUAGAGUUUUCUAGUCAGUUUUGAAUAUAAAUAGGUCACAUAUCUUUAUCUUUUUGCAUACUUUGUUACAAAUAUGCAAAUAAGAUAGGCAUACUUGCUACAAAAUAGGUACAGCAGGAAUGUAAUAUGUUCAGAAAAGGCAAACUGGUUAUUAAAACACAUUAACAGGUAAGGAGUUUCUAAUAUUUUAAAUACUAAAAUUUUACAUGUGUAUUUUGAAGUUUUUAAAAUGGAAAAAUAAAGAACCUUUAA